rnacentral:rRNA from 1 species
CACGUAGGGCGCAAGCGUUGUCCGGAAUUAUUGGGCGUAAAGAGCUCGUAGGCGGACUGUCACGUCCGCUGUGAAAAGCUAGGGCUUAACCCUGGCCUUGCAGUGGAUACGGGCAGACUAGAGGUAGGUAGGGGAGAAUGGAAUUCCCGGUGUAGCGGUGGAAUGCGCAGAUAUCAGGAAGAACACCCGUGGCGAAGGCGGCUCUCUGGAACGCAACUGACGCUGAGACGCGAAAGCGUGGGGAGCGAACAGG